rnacentral:rRNA from 1 species
ACUCCUGCGGGAGGCAGCAGUGGGGAAUUUUGGACAAUGGGCGAAAGCCUGAUCCAGCAAUGCCGCGUGUGUGAAGAAGGCCUUCGGGUUGUAAAGCACUUUUGUCCGGAAAGAAAUCCUUGGCUCUAAUACAGUCGGGGGAUGACGGUACCGGAAGAAUAAGCACCGGCUAACUACGUGCCAGCAGCCGCGGUAAUACGUAGGGUGCGAGCGUUAAUCGGAAUUACUGGGCGUAAAGCGUGCGCGGGCGGUUUGCUAAGACCGAUGUGAAAUCCCCGGGCUCAACCUGGGAACUGCAUUGGUGACUGGCAGGCUAGAGUAUGGCAGAGGGGGGUAGAAUUCCACGUGUAGCAGUGAAAUGCGUAGAGAUGUGGAGGAAUACCGAUGGCGAAGGCAGCCCCCUGGGCCAAUACUGACGCUCAUGCACGAAAGCGUGGGGAGCAAACAGGAUUAGAAACCCGUGUAGUCCCA